rnacentral:tRNA from 1 species
GCCGCAGAGGCCUAAAUGGUGAGGCGCCUGACUUCCAAUCAGGAGAACCGAGUUCGAUUCCCGGGUGCGGCU